rnacentral:rRNA from 1 species
UUCGCAAUGCCCGAAAGGGUGACGAAGCGACGCCGCGUGCGGGAAGAAGGCCUUCGGGUUGUAAACCGCUGUCGGGAGUUAAGAAAUGCAAGGGUGUUAACAGCAUCCUUGCUUGACUAAGGCUCCGGAGGAAGCCACGGCUAACUCUGUGCCAGCAGCCGCGGUAAUACAGAGGCGGCAAGCGUUGUUCGGAAUUAUUGGGCGUAAAGAGCACGUAGGCGGCUGUGUAAGUCGGUUGUGAAAGCCUUCCGCUCAACGGGAGAACGGCAUCCGAUACUGCAUGGCUUGAGUGCGGGAGGGGAGAGUGGAACUUCUGGUGGAGCGGUGAAAUGCGUAGGUAUCAGAAGGAACACCGGCGGCGAAGGCGACUCUCUGGCCCGUAACUGACGCUGAGUGUGCGAAAGCUAGGGGAGCAAACGGGAUUAGAUACCCCGGUAGUCCUAGCCGUAAACGAUGGGCACUAAGUAGAGGGGUUUU